GGGAGUAACAAGAGGGAAACUUCUGAUAAUACUGGAUAAGUUAGUAUAUCGCAUGAUAUGCAAAUGAAAGCUACGGCACUAAAGGAGAGCUUUGCGUCCUAUUAGCUAGUUGGUAAGGUAAGAGCUUACCAAGGCGAUGAUAGGUAGCCGGCCUGAGAGGGUGGACGGCCACAAGGGGACUGAGAUACGGCCCUUACUCCUACGGGAGGCAGCAGAA
rnacentral:rRNA from 1 species